GAUGACCUGCAUCGUGCGCGCGAUACAUAUUUUAAUUCCUUAUCGCAUGCAUGAAGUUGUGCGUGAUUAUUCCAAUGGUUGCAUGCUUUUGCUCCCUUUUUCACCAAGUCUCUAUUUCUUCACACUUAGCUAUUUUUUCCUCAUUAUUUGGUCUUUCUUCUUCAUUUUUAUCCUAUUUAACUUGUUUUGAUCUGUUUCUUCAACCAAAAUCACGCAAUAAUGGGAUGUCA
rnacentral:lncRNA from 1 species